rnacentral:rRNA from 1 species
UCAUCUCCGGGGGUAGAGCACUGUUUCGGCUAGGGGGCCAUCCCGGCUUACCAACCCGAUGCAAACUGCGAAUACCGGAGAAUGUUAUCACGGGAGACACACGGCGGGUGCUAACGUCCGUCGUGAAGAGGGAAACAACCCAGACCGCCAGCUAAGGUCCCAAAGUCAUGGUUAAGUGGGAAACGAUGUGGGAAGGCCCAGACAGCCAGGAUGUUGGCUUAGAAGCAGCCAUCAUUUAAAGAAAGCGUAAUAGCUCACUGGUCGAGUCGGCCUGCGCGGAAGAUGUAACGGGGCUAAACCAUGCACCGAAGCUGCGGCAGCGACGCUGAUGCGUUGUUGGGUAGGGGAGCGUUCUGUAAGCCUGCGAAGGUGGCCUGUGAGGGUUGCUGGAGGUAUCAGAAGUGCGAAUGCUGACAUAAGUAACGAUAAAGCGGGUGAAAAGCCCGCUCGCCGGAAGACCAAGGGUUCCUGUCCAACGUUAAUCGGGGCAGGGUGAGUCGACCCCUAAGGCGAGGCCGAAAGGCGUAGUCGAUGGGAAACGGGUUAAUAUUCCCGUACUUGGUGUUACUGCGAAGGGGGGACGGAGAAGGCUAUGUUGGCCGGGCGACGGUUGUCCCGGUUUAAGCGUGUAGGUGUGUGUUCCAGGUAAAUCCGGUUCACUUUAACACUGAGGCGUGAUGACGAGGCACUACGGUGCUGAAGCAACAAAUGCCCUGCUUCCAGGAAAAGCCUCUAAGCAUCAGGUAACAUCAAAUCGUACCCCAAACCGACACAGGUGGUCAGGUAGAGAAUAC